CUUCCAGGAAAAGCCUCUAAGCAUCAGGUAACAUCAAAUCGUACCCCAAACCGACACAGGUGGUCAGGUAGAGAAUACCAAGGCGCUUGAGAGAACUCGGGUGAAGGAACUAGGCAAAAUGGUGCCGUAACUUCGGGAGAAGGCACGCUGACACGUAGGUGAAGUGAUUUACUCACGGAGCUGAAGUCAGUCGAAGAUACCAGCUGGCUGCAACUGUUUAUUAAAAACACAGCACUGUGCAAACACGAAAGUGGACGUAUACGGUGUGACGCCUGCCCGGUGCCGGAAGGUUAAUUGAUGGGGUCAGCGCAAGCGAAGCUCCUGAUCGAAGCCCCGGUAAACGGCGGCCGUAACUAUAACGGUCCUAAGGUAGCGAAAUUCCUUGUCGGGUAAGUUCCGACCUGCACGAAUGGCGUAAUGAUGGCCAGGCUGUCUCCACCCGAGACUCAGUGAAAUUGAACUCGCUGUGAAGAUGCAGUGUACCCGCGGCAAGACGGAAAGACCCCGUGAACCUUUACUAUAGCUUGACACUGAACAUUGAGCCUUGAUGUGUAGGAUAGGUGGGAGGCUUUGAAGUGUGGACGCCAGUCUGCAUGGAGCCGACCUUGAAAUACCACCCUUUAAUGUUUGAUGUUCUAACGUGGACCCGUAAUCCGGGUUGCGGACAGUGUCUGGUGGGUAGUUUGACUGGGGCGGUCUCCUCCUAAAGAGUAACGGAGGAGCACGAAGGUUGGCUAAUCCUGGUCGGACAUCAGGAGGUUAGUGCAAUGGCAUAAGCCAGCUUGACUGCGAGCGUGACGGCGCGAGCAGGUGCGAAAGCAGGUCAUAGUGAUCCGGUGGUUCUGAAUGGAAGGGCCAUCGCUCAACGGAUAAAAGGUACUCCGGGGAUAACAGGCUGAUACCGCCCAAGAGUUCAUAUCGACGGCGGUGUUUGGCACCUCGAUGUCGGCUCAUCACAUCCUGGGGCUGAAGUAGGUCCCAAGGGUAUGGCUGUUCGCCAUUUAAAGUGGUACGCGAGCUGGGUUUAGAACGUCGUGAGACAGUUCGGUCCCUAUCUGCCGUGGGCGCUGGAGAACUGAGGGGGGCUGCUCCUAGUACGAGAGGACCGGAGUGGACGCAUCACUGGUGUUCGGGUUGUCAUGCCAAUGGCACUGCCCGGUAGCUAAAUGCGGAAGAGAUAAGUGCUGAAAGCAUCUAAGCACGAAACUUGCCCCGAGAUGAGUUCUCCCUGAGACUUUAGGUCUCCUGAAGGAACGUUGAAGACGACGACGUUGAUAGGCCGGGUGUGUAAGCGCAGCGAUGCGUUGAGCUAACCGGUACUAAUGAACCGUGAGGCUUAACCUUACAACGCCGAAG
rnacentral:rRNA from 1 species